CUAAGGCUCCAGAGGAAGCCACGGCUAACUCUGUGCCAGCAGCCGCGGUAAUACAGAGGCGGCAAGCGUUGUUCGGAAUUAUUGGGCGUAAAGAGCACGUAGGCGGCCUUGCAAGUCAGUUGUGAAAGCCUUCCGCUUAACGGAAGAAUGCCAGCUGAUACUACAGGGCUUGAGUACGGGAGGGGAGAGUGGAACUUCUGGUGGAGCGGUGAAAUGCGUAGAUAUCAGAAGGAACGCCGGCGGCGAAAGCGACUCUCUGGCCCGAAACUGACGCUGAGUGUGCGAAAGCUAGGGGAGCAAACGGGAUUAGAUACCCCGGUAGUCCUAGCUGUAAA
rnacentral:rRNA from 1 species